rnacentral:rRNA from 1 species
GAUGAACGCUGGCGGCGUGCCUAAUACAUGCAAGUCGAGCGAACAGACCAGGAGCUUGCUCCUCUGUCGUUAGCGGCGGGCGGGUGAGUAACACGUGGAUCACCUACCUAUCAGUCUGGUAUAACUUCGGGAAUCCGGAGCUAAUACCGGAUAAUAUCUUGAACCGCAUGGGUCAAUAGUGAAAUACGGUUUUGCUGUCUCUUAUCGAUGGAUCCGGGCCGCAUUAGCUAGUUGGUAGGGUAACGGCUUACCACGGCGACGAUGCGUAGCCGACGGGAGGGGGGGGUAGGCGACAUGGGAACUGAGCCACCGUCCAGACUACUACGGGAGGCAGCAGUAGGGAAUGGUCGGCAGUAGGCGGAAGCCUUGCGGAGCAACGCGGCGUGAGUGAUGACGGUGCUCGGAUCGUGAAACCCGGUUAUGAGGGAAGAACAAAUGUGUAAGGAACUAUGCACUGCUUGACGGUACCUGAUCAGAAAGCCCCGGCUAACUACGUG